GUGGUACGCAGUUAUUACUUUUUUAACUAAAAUUUGUAAAUUAUCAAAUUUUGUUGAUUGGUUAACGAAAAAUUAUAUUUUACCCUUCAACUGACAAAGCGAUUUGUUUUAGUUCAGGCUUUGGAUGACAUCACUUCAUAUAUUAAAAAUUCGAUUUACAAACAAGAACCGCUGUGUUUUCAUUAUUAAUAGUGGAAUACCAAUUGUCGUGGAGUUCGUGGGUAAAGAUGAACAACAAUUUUAAGGUAGUACAAAUCUACUGCAAAACCACGUAUCCGCGAAAGUAUGACUGUUCCUGAAGCCACAAAUAUAAGUAUAUCCGAAAAUAAAUAAAUCCUGCCGUGUUUUUUUUAAUAGAAUAAAAUUGAGUCAAUUAAUUUUGUUAAAUGAAAUACAUAACUAAUGAACUACUGACCAAU
rnacentral:lncRNA from 1 species